rnacentral:lncRNA from 1 species
GGGAAGCUCAGUCUUUUCCUUACCGCUGUCUCCCCCAAAUUCAAAGAGAGGUGCUCCUUUCUUCAAGACCCCGUUGGACAGAGCUGGUGGAAAAACAGAAAAGAAAAACAUAAAUUUAAUCUAAAAAUAAUGCAGACUUGAAGGAUGGAGCUGGUUACCACACCAACUCCCAUUUCUUAAGUGUUUUUGUUUAUCUGCGAUCCCACUAGACCCAGAAGUGAUGAUGAGACAAUGCAGGCUGUGAGUUCUGUCUCCUCGCAGGUUCCUAGAGAGGGUCGAAAUGAACCACCUCUAGGAGAAUCUUCUCAUGGGGGCAAGGAAUGCCUCGGGUUUGGAUGCCCAGGAGGCUCUCUGCCCACUCCUUUUCAGUCUGAGUUACCACCUGUCCCCGCUAUGAAUGUUUCUGAAGAGUAGGAACUCGUUGUAG